AUGAACGCUGGCGGCGUGCCUAAUACAUGCAAGUCGAGCGGAAAGGCCUCUUCGGAGGUACUCGAGCGGCGGACGGCUGAGUAACGCGUAGGAAUGUACCCCGAAGUGAGGGAUAACUGCUCGAAAGAGUAGCUAAUACCGCAUGUGAUCUACGGAUUAAAGCUUUUAGCGCUUUGGGAACAGCCUGCGUCCGAUUAGCUAGUUGGUAGUGUAAUGGACUACCAAGGCGAUGAUCGGUAGCUGGUCUGAGAGGAUGAUCAGCCAGACUGGGACUGAGACACGGCCCAGACUCCUACGGGAGGCAGCAGUAGGGAAUUUUCCACAAUGGGGGCAACCCUGAUGGAGCAACGCCGCGUGCAGGAUGAAUGCCUUCGGGUUGUAAACUGCUUUUAUUAGUGACGAUUAUGACGGUAACUAAUGAAUAAGGACCUGCUAACUACGUGCCAGCAGCCGCGGUCAUACGUAGGGUCCAAGCGUUAUCCGGAAUUACUGGGCGUAAAGAGUUGCGUAGGUGGCAGAGUAAGUAGAUAGUGAAAGCGUGUGGCUCAACCAUACAUCCAUUAUCUAAACUGCUCAGCUAGAGGACGAGAGAGGUAGAUGGAAUUUCUGAUGUAGGGGUAAUAUCCGUAGAUAUCAGGAGGAACACCGACGGCGUAAGCAGUCUACUGGCUCGUUCCUGACACUAAGGCACGAAAGCGUGGGGAGCAAACAGGAUUAGAUACCCUGGUAGUCCACGCCGUAAACUAUGGAUGCUAGCUGUAAGGAGUAUCGACCCUUCUUGUAGCGAAGCUAACGCGUUAAGCAUCCCGCCUGUGGAGUACGGUCGCAAGACUAAAACAUAAAGGAAUUGACGGGGACCCGCACAAGCGGUGGAGCGUGUUGUUUAAUUCGAUGGUAAGCGAAGAACCUUACCCAGGUUUGACAUCCCGAGAAGGUUUCCGAAAGGAAAUUGUGCCGUAAGGAAUUCGGUGACAGGUGAUGCAUGGCCGUCGUCAGCUCGUGUCGUGAGAUGUUUGGUUAAGUCCAUCAACGAGCGCAACCCUUAUAGUUAGUUGUAUUUUUCUAGCUAGACUGCCCUGGUAACGGGGAGGAAGGGGGGGAUGAUGUCAGGUCAGUAUUUCCCUUACAUCUGGGGCUACAAACACGCUACAAUGGCCGGUACAAAGGGCAGCCAAGUCGCAAGACGGAGCAAACCCCAUCAAAGCCGGUCUCAGUUCGGAUAGCAGGCUGAAACUCGCCUGCUUGAAGCCGGAAUCGCUAGUAGCGGUGAGUCAGCACAUCACCGUGAAUACGUUCCCGGGUCUUGUACACACCGCCCGUCAAGCCAUGAAAGUCGCCAAUACCUGACGUGUUGCCUUCGCGCAGCCCUAAGGCAGGGGAGAUGAUUGGGGUU
rnacentral:rRNA from 1 species